GCAGAGGAGGGUUUUGAGGAGUGGCUGAGGAGGGAAGCUUUGUUUACAUGCUGAAAUCUGGUGCAAGUGCAACAUCUAGUGGCAGAAAAAUCAUAUAUAUCACAAU